GCAGCAGUCCCUUUCACAGUGCCAUCCACACAGCUACACGACCGAGCAAGCAAACACCUCCGACCCACUCUGGCUUUUGGUACAGGCACAUGGAAAUCCACCCCAGGAAUUCUGCAGCAUCUCAAGUAAAAAAACAACCUAAAUGCACGGUGCUCCAUCUGAAACGCAAAGAGAGCUGAGCAGCAGAGGGUGACAAAGCAGGAAAAAAAACAAGCCAUAUAUUGUGGAACUGCUCAGUCAUGGACUGCAGCAUCAACAACCAGCAAUUGAGAGAAGAGAUACAUCAUUAAACUUAUUUAUAGCAUUAACUACUUUGCAUUCAUCCACACAAGUGAAACUGUAAAAAGAAGAAAAAAUUAUAAAGGGAGCGUGUGGUUCUUUCAUUAGCUUGUCUGUAAUGUUGGAUUGGUCCAUAAAUUAAUGUGUAAAAGAGGAUGGGAAAAAAAAAUAAU